GCGCCCGUAGCUCAACUGGAUAGAGCAAUUGCCUUCUAAGCAAUAGGUUUCAGGUUCGAGUCCUGACGGGCGUACUA
rnacentral:tRNA from 1 species